AAACAAAGUCCGAAGUUCUGAUGAAGGUGGUAAAGGAGUCCAUGUUUCCUCUCAGCAGCAUUUCCACGCUUUCUAAAACAUGUGUCCUUGGGGGCCUUCCUGAGGAUUCUACAAACAGCCUCUGAGUCAUGGCUGCUAUGAUACUACAGGUGCAUGUGACCUGGAAGUCAAAUGAUGAGCUAUAGCUAGCUGCAUCAUUUUAGGAGACAGCCAGAAUCCCAGUGUUUGCACGCAUGGUGCACUAGGUGCAGGAAACAUCACUUUCCUUAAAGGGAUGGGCACAGAUGGGACCAAAGCCAGACCAGGUAGGACCACUUCUGAACCUGCAAAGAGAUUUAAGAGCUGCAAAGUGCCCCCAGAGCAUUCCUGGCUGGUGUAGUGCACCUGUGUACUAUGCAACAGAUUGCCCUUACA